CAUGUUUUCUGGGGCAGUAUGCCCUGGAUCCCUGUCCUACUUCGCUUCCCUACCCCUGUGAUGAAACAUUGACAGAGAGCAACCGAGGGACAAAGGGGCCAUUUGGCCUGCGGUCCGCUCCUGUCCUGCCGGGCUGCGACAGAGUCUCGGCACACGGCCGGCCACACGUCAGGAGGGACAGCCGUGCAGACGGUGCCACUCAGGCUUCUCGAGGUAGAGAGAAAGCCGUCACCACCGAGCCAUGGGUCCCCACGCCUAAGAGCGGAGAACACACGCAGAGCGCGCCACAGCCUGCAGCGACCUGCCAGGAGCUCACAGAAAUCGGCCCUUUAAGGAUUCCUUUUCUUUUCGAUCAUGUGUGUGCCCGCGUGAGUGUCUUCUGUGUGAGCGAGAGCGCUUCCAGACAUGGAGCGUCAGACCCCGGAGUGGCCUCCCACUCGGCUAGAGG